ACUACUACUACUACUACUACUGACUCCUUACCAUCUUUAUCUGCUGCUCCAGACUUUUGAUACCAUAUUGAAUCUUUCAGAGGCACACAGUCUUGAGGACUGCAGACACACCCAGCCUUGUUGGGUGAUUCUCAGUUUCCACGUGAAAGUCAGCUACUGUAGGAUUACUCUAACUGCUGAGCAACCCCAUCUCAAAGACUGUGUAACAACCAGACUCUUAGCCUCGCUGGUGUUGGACAGCUGUUGUUACUAUUUCAAGGCUAAGGCACUAGAAGAUGAAUUGAAGCAUACAGCUUCCCUAGGAAAUGUCUACUGCAGAGAAUUCAAUUGUAAAUGGAUCAAGGACUUUAACACAAGAUCUGAAACCCUGAAACUGUAAGAUGAAAAAAUAAGGAGCCUGCUUCACUUCACAGACACAGGCUGCUCCUUGGUAACAGAGCCUCACUCUUCCAGAGGAAGCUUCACAACCUUGAUCUUGUCCAUGAAGUCGGAGUUGGCAAAUCCGUGCUGAGCAGUGAGGAAAUCAAAUAGAUAUUUUUGUGCACAAAAUGUAAAG
rnacentral:lncRNA from 1 species